GCGCCUGUCUGGGACCGUGAGCGCUGCCAUCUGACACACGGCACAGCCACUCGGAGGCCCAGGGCACUGCUCUUGGGCAAGGGGGUGUGAUGGCAGUUCAGGGCCAGGUCCACUGUCCCCAAAUGCAGCCCCCCCCAGGAGUGGCCAGCAGGAAGACUCAGAAAAGGCUGGCCACUGCCUUCAGGGGGCCACCAUGGUGUCCCAAUCCCCCACCUGGGGACCUUGUGCAGCCUGGGCUCUGCUUGGUCUCAAGUCCUUGCGUUUCCCCUGCAUGGAGUGUGCCCAUUUGGUCACACGAGGCCCCUCAUGCCAAGGGGCAGCUGGCAGCAGACCAGUGACUGCCAGGGCACCUGGCCAAGGGACCUGGGAGGCUGGGACUAGCAGAGUCCCUGCCCCUGUAUUGACCAUGGCCCCAGCUGAGGACAGCCUGGUGGAAUGUCCCCUGCUGGGGUGGUCGGAACAGGGAAGGAGAAGGCUUCCUGAGGAGAGGAGGGCGUAACCCUGCACCCAAGCCUGUGCGUGCAGCAGAGUGGUGUGUGCUGGGGCAGCCGGAUGGAAACCCUGAAGCGGAAGCACACAGCACCCUGGGGGGUCCUCAGAGCCCUGGCGGGGCACGGCCGGGUCCCAGGCAGACUCCUGGAGGGUGGCCAGAUGCCGCAGCUGUGAUCACGGCACCUUACGCCCCGCUGAGAGCCUCUCCCUGCUGGCCCGAGGCGUCAGGGCCUGUGCUGGGGCUGCACCUGGUGAGGAGCUCAGGGUGGCCUCCAGCCUCCAGCCAGCAAGAAGCCGGUCCUCAGUUGUACAGAUUUAAGGAAAUAAUUCUGCCAACAGCCUGACGAUGCCUGGUGGCACAGCCCUUCUCGUCCCACGUUGAAACUGUAGCCCGGCCACCUCCUAGACUGCACCCUGGACGGGGGCUCCUGCUAAGCCCUGCCUGGACACCUGGCUCACAGAAGCCACAAGACCAUAAAUGUGUGUUAAGUUACUAAACGUGUGGUAAUUGGUGAGACAGCAAUAGAAGGCAAAUCCACUA
rnacentral:lncRNA from 10 species